AUUUAUUAUAUUUCUAUAAUUCAAUAACUAAUUGGAUAUUAGAGUUAUAAUUCAGGAAUCAAACCGAUGUUUGUUGUUAUUUUCGUGCUAAAUAAUGUGGUGGUGGACCUAGAAUGAACUUUUAACUUUGCUUGAGAAUUGGGGUGAGAAUUACAAUUGAAACUAGACUUAGAAAAUUGCUUUUCUGGCCCCCUAUAUUGCUCGUAGGCCCCCCGUUCCGACCAAAUUACCCUUAGCCUGUUUUGGAACAUAGCAACCGAAUUUAAUUAAUUUUGGUAUGUAGGAACCGAACUAGACAUCCACCAAAUACCUUUGUUUUUAUAUCAGACUCUAAUCUUUCAAACUUAGUUGCAACUAUUGUUAUUUUGUCAAUAAUUUAAUUGAUUUACCGGGAAUUGUGAAGAUAUUGCAAUAGUUGUCAAUUAGUGUUUAGUAGCUAUAGUUGAAUUACCACGUUAGUGAUAUAGCUGUAUGAUAUUGAAUCUUAUACACAAUUCUUGCUUUUUUGGCCCUAAUCUAGCAAGUUCCCUGGUUGAUUUCUUGUAAUAUUGACAUGUAAUGCAAGGUAGCAUCUAGGUAAGGGUGUUUUUUGUCUCGCAAAACAAACUUUUAUAACAACCAAACCAGCUACAACAAAAACCUGCUACACCAAUAACAGCCAACACGCAUAGCUUCUUCACCUAAUUUGCACGUUUUGAAGGAAAUUCAUUAAUUAUGCUUCUUCACCUAAUUUGCAAAACACAGAUGGUAUGCUUCUUCUUCUUCUUCUUCUUCUUCAACGUAGUAACAAGCCAAAAUGAAGGAACAACAAGAAGAAUACACCUGGAAACACAAUCUGAAAUUGCAAGAAUACACCAUUAGUGGAAGAAAAAUCCAAACAGAUUGAUUCGGAAGAUACAAUCGGAAAUUGCAUAAUUUUGGAAGUUACAAUCCAAAAACACUAAAUUUCGGAACGUAACUUCCGAACUGUAUGAGAAUCUCUUUAAAUGAAUUACCAAAACUUCUGGAGCCUCCAUGAAUCAAGAUUUUUACUUGCUUGUGCAGAGACCUCGCAAGAAGAGAACACAUCUGCAACAGGACAUAUAUGAAUAAAGAAUGAGAACACUUUUAUUUGAAGGUCAAAGUAGUAUGAAGAGAAUAUCUCUAAAGACUCGUAAAAUUGCUUGAAAGAUAUAACACUAGGAAUAUGAAUAAAGAAUGCAUACAAACAGAGCACUAGUUUUCCAAUUUCAGGAAGUAUAAUUGGAAGCUUUGGAAUUUCAGGAAGCAAAAAUGAAACCAAUAUCAGGAAGCAUUGAUAGGUUACAUUAGUGUGUGUAUAAUAGCAAUGUGAAAACAUAUACAAGAUAGGUUACAUUAGUGGCAUAUUCAGUUGUCUAUACUCCCUAUCACAAGUUUAAAACUAGGAACAGAUCAAACCAGAAAAUAGAGCAACUUUAGUUCACAUUGGGGAACACAAAACAAUGCACCAAAUAGAAGAAAAACUCUUAGUUGGAUAAAUAUCUAACUUAAUAAAUAAUACUGAUAUUUGCAGGAGCAAACAACCAUUACAAGAUCAAAUAUGUCUAUGUUUAUAAGUGUGAUUACAAAAUAGUGCAGUCUGAAUCUGGCAACCAAGUAAAUCAACUGUUAUCAUCAUGCCUGGACCUAAUCGGCCUUUCAAGAUAACCUUUGACUCGUCCAGUGGAGCAGAAACAAAAUUUAUUCACUAAUCACAUCAUAGAUUUUGGUGGAUCAUUUGAUUUCAGCAACCACAUCCAAAGAAUUUAUUCACUUACCAAAAGAUUGUGCUCUGUUAAUGUUGCUUACUCACAAAACUGAAUUGAUGGAACAACUCUGCUUCAAUUCGGAUCGCAGCUGCCGAACCUAUGCGAAUUCGGAUUGCAUCGCCCGAACUUAGGCAUUUUCGGAUCGUAUCUUCAGAACCAAAUAAACUCACAAUUAAAAAUCAAAAGCAAAUCCAUGAAGAUUUAAGAUACUAACUAGUUUUUAGUGGGUUUGCGGCUGAGAAGAAGAAGAUGGUGCGGCGGUGCAGCUGCAUUUCCGACGAGGCUGCGGCGGAGAAGAAGAUGGAGAGCGUUUGAUGUUUUCUGGGUUUCAGUUAUCUGCUUCUGCGGUUCGGUUCUCAUCUUCCGGAGUUGUUUUGAUUUCGGAUUGCACAAUACAAACCAACCUGGGUCCCAAAUCAGGGCCAUUUUGGGAUUUUUGGGGGGUGCGAAAGCACCAAAAGGGGCCUAAAGAGCAAUUUUCCUAGACUUAUUAGUUGGCCCAACUCUACCUGUCGUCAAGUACGGCCCACACAAUUCUUAGCCCUUCAUGAUUUCUCUUAGGUACAAUACAACCUUUGUCUUGCUUCAAGAUAUCAUGUCCA
rnacentral:lncRNA from 1 species